UACGAAGGGGGCUAGCGUUGUUCGGAUUUACUGGGCGUAAAGGGCGCGUAGGCGGCGUGACAAGUCACUUGUGAAAUCUCCGGGCUUAACUCGGAACGGUCAAGUGAUACUGUCGUGCUAGAGUACAGAAGGGGCAACUGGAAUUCUCGGUGUAGCGGUGAAAUGCGUAGAUAUCGAGAGGAACACCUGCGGCGAAGGCGGGUUGCUGGGCUGAUACUGACGCUGAGGCGCGAAAGCCAGGGGAGCGAACGGG
rnacentral:rRNA from 1 species